rnacentral:rRNA from 1 species
UACGAAGGGGGCUAGCGUUGCUCGGAAUCACUGGGCGUAAAGCGCACGUAGGCGGAUUGCUAAGUCAGGGGUGAAAUCCUGGAGCUCAACUCCAGAACUGCCUUUGAUACUGGCAACCUUGAGUCCGGGAGAGGUGAGUGGAACUGCGAGUGUAGAGGUGAAAUUCGUAGAUAUUCGCAAGAACACCAGUGGCGAAGGCGGCUGACUGGUCCGGUUCUGACGCUGAGGCGCGAAAGCGUGGGGAGCAAACAGG